UACGAAGGGGGCUAGCGUUGCUCGGAAUGACUGGGGCGUAAAGGGCGCGUAGGCGGUUUGUACAGUCAGGUGUGAAAAGUUCCCCGGCUCCAACCGUGGGGGCUGCACUUGAUACGUAUGGACUUGAGUGAGGAAGAGGGUCGUGGAAUUCCCAGUGUAGAGGUGAAAUUCGUAGAUAUUGGGAAGAACACCGGUGGCGAAGGCGGCGACCUGGUCCGUGACUGACGCUGAGGCGCGAAGCGUGGGGAGCAAACAGG
rnacentral:rRNA from 1 species